CCUACGGGCGGCAGCAGUAGGGAAUAUUGCUCAAUGGGGGAAACCCUGAAGCAGCAACGCCGCGUGGAGGAUGAAUGUUUUCGGAUUGUAAACUCCUUUUGUUAGAGAAGAUAAUGACGGUAUCUAACGAAUAAGCACCGUCUAAUUCCGUGCCAGCAGCCGCGGUAAGACGGAGGGUGCAAGCGUUACUCGGAAUCACUGGGCGUAAAGAGCGCGUAGGCGGGAUAGCAAGUCAGAUGUGAAAUCCUAUGGCUUAACCAUAGAACUGCAUUUGAAACUGUUAUUCUAGAGUAUAGGAGAGGUAGGUGGAAUUCUUGGUGUAGGGGUAAAAUCCGUAGAGAUCAAGAAGAAUACUCAUUGCGAAGGCGACCUGCUAGAACGUAACUGACACUGAUGCGCGAAAGCGUGGGGAGCAAACAGGAUUAGAUACCCGUGUAGUC
rnacentral:rRNA from 1 species